rnacentral:misc_RNA from 1 species
ACGAUGGCGCGUUUGGUGCGGUCGGUGUGGCUCAUCAUCGGGAACGUCACCCCGCAAGGAAGGGUCGAAAGAAGCGGCAAUCAAACAUUGGAACACUCGUGACGGUAUCCAACUCAGUACGGAUGCCUCGUCUAGCCGCUCGCCCUCAUUGCACCGUGAACCGCUUCUGAACAAUUCUUCUGACACCACCUUAUCCACAGAGGGGAUGCGGGAGGCGUUGGAGUGGGUCCGAAGCGAAAUCUUCGGUCUUUGCGAACAUACGGAAGAAAAGUAUGCCGACAAAACUUUAGUAUCGAGCGCCUUCAACCGUGGCCGGUGCUUUGAAGCUAAAGGCAUUCGCAACGCAAUGGGCGAAGUGAUACGCGAACGUCUCGCCGCCCUUUCCGCCCUACCCG